rnacentral:rRNA from 1 species
GACGGGGCCCGCACAAGCGGUGGAGCAUGUGGUUUAAUUCGACGCAACGCGAAGAACCUUACCAGGGCUUGACAUCCCCUGACCGCGUAUGAAAGUACGUUUUCACCCUCGGGUGACAGGGAGACAGGUGGUGCAUGGUUGUCGUCAGCUCGUGUCGUGAGAUGUUGGGUUAAGUCCCGCAACGAGCGCAACCCCUGUCCUUAGUUGCCAUCAUUAAGUUGGGCACUCUAAGGAGACUGCCGGUGUUAAACCGGAGGAAGGUGGGGAUGACGUCAAGUCCUCAUGGCCCUUACAUCCCGGGCUACACACGUGCUACAAUGGCAGGUACAGAGGGCUGCGAAGCCGCGAGGUGGAGCGAAUCCCAGAAAACCUGUCUCAGUCCGGAUUGAAGUCUGCAACUCGACUUCAUGAAGGCGGAAUCGCUAGUAACCGCGAAUCAGCAGGUCGCGGUGAAUACGUUCCCGGGCCUU